rnacentral:rRNA from 1 species
ACCAGACUCCUACGGGAGGCAGCAGUGGGGAAUAUUGCACAAUGGGGGAAACCCUGAUGCAGCGACGCCGCGUGAGUGAAGAAGUAUUUCGGUAUGUAAAGCUCUAUCAGCAGGGAAGAAAUAGCGACCUUUGGGUCGCCAGACGGUACCUGCCUAAGAAGCCCCGGCUAACUACGUGCCAGCAGCCGCGGUAUUACGUAGGGGGCAAGCGUUAUCCGGAUUUACUGGGUGUAAAGGGAGCGUAGACGGCAGCGCAAGUCUGAAGAGAAAUGCCGGGGCUUAACCCCGGAACUGCUUUGAAAACUGUGCAGCUAGAGGGCAGGAGAGGUAAGUGGAAUUCCGAGUGUAGCGGUGAAAUGCGUAGAUAUUAGGAGGAACACCAGUGGCGAAGGCGGCUUACUGGACUGUAACUGACGUUGAGGCUCGAAAGCGUGGGGAGCAAACAGGAUGAGAUACCCCAGUA